UCUUUCACUCAAAAGAACUGUGCUAAAAUUAGAGUCCAGGUCCUCCUGCUAUAUGCAAUCAUGCUAGUAGAGUAUAAUGUGGAAGAAGAGCACUAGCCCUGCACUGGAAAUGAUACCGGAAAAGAGGUCUAGCCCUCUUUCUUUAUGUCCAGUGGCUUGUGUUUCAAGGUCCAGAGCAACAUUA